AACGAACGCUGGCGGCAGGCCUAACACAUGCAAGUCGAGCGCCCCGCAAGGGGAGCGGCGGACGGGUUAGUAACGCGUGGGAAUGUACCCUUUUCUACGGAAUAGCCUCGGGAAACUGAGAUUAAUACCGUAUACGCCCGGUAACGGGGAAAGAUUUAUCGGAGAAGGAUCAGCCCGCGUAAGAUUAGAUAGUUGGUGGGGUAAUGGCCUACCAAGUCUACGAUCUUUAGCUGGUUUGAGAGGAUGAUCAGCAACACUGGGACUGAGACACGGCCCAGACUCCUACGGGAGGCAGCAGUGGGGAAUCUUAGACAAUGGGCGCAAGCCUGAUCUAGCCAUGCCGCGUGAGUGAAGAAGGCCUUAGGGUCGUAAAGCUCUUUCAGUGGGGAAGAUAAUGACGGUACCCACACGAAGAAACCCCGGCUAACUCCGUGCCAGCAGCCGC
rnacentral:rRNA from 1 species